UCAGUUCGGAUUGCAGCCUGCAACUCGGCUGCAUGAAGUUGGAAUCGCUAGUAAUCGCGGAUCAGAAUGCCGCGGUGAAUACGUUCCCGGGUCUUGUACACACCGCCCGUCACACCAUGGGAGUCGGGAAUGCCCGAAGUCGGUGACCUAACCGGAAGGGAGGAGCCGCCGAAGGCAGGCCUGGUAACUGGGGUGAAGUCGUAACAAGGUAUC
rnacentral:rRNA from 1 species